AUUGAACGCUGGCGGCAGGCCUAACACAUGCAAGUCGAACGAGUGGCGGACGGGUGAGUAAUGUAUGGGAAACUGCCUGAUGGAGGGGGAUAACUACUGGAACCGGUAGCUAAUACCGCAUACCAUCGGAUGUGCCCCGAUGGGAUUAGCUAGUAGGUGGGGUAAAGGCUCACCUAGGCGACGAUUCCUAGCUGGUCUGAGAGGCUGACCAGCCACACUGGAACUGAGACACGGGCCAGACUCCUACGGGAGGCAGCAGUGGGGAAUAUUGCACAAUGGGCGCAAGCCUGAUGCAGCCAUGCCGCGUGUAUGAAGAAGGCCUUCGGGUUGUAAAGUACUUUUGGCAGAGAAGCGGUAUCUGCAGAAUAAGCACCGGCUAACUACGUGCCAGCAGCCGCGGUAAUAC
rnacentral:rRNA from 1 species